rnacentral:lncRNA from 1 species
AUCUGUGGACACUUCAGGCCAUGGCUUCACUCUCUGCUCACGUCCUUCCUGCAGCUAAUAGCCAGCACGCUUAAAAAUUUAAUCACAACACUUUGGGAGUAAUAGAAAAUGCGUGUUUCAUACAUGAGGAGAAAAAAGGAGGAAGGAACGUGGCAACAUUCAUGAAUGGCUGCUGACCCCAUGAGCAGCGACGUGGACGGUGAACGGAUGAUGAAGGAUCCAACUGCAUUGACAAUGACAACAGCCCAGAAACAGACACAGCCUGACCCUCCUGCCUCUGGGUGGAGCAACAGGAAUGCAUCCCUGAUCCAUCUGCAGGCUUUCCCAGAGGACCCAACCUGGUGUUGCGAGGACGGGUUCCCAGGAAUACAGGGGUGUUAGGGCGGUUAUCUCACACCCAGACGCCCUCUAACGAGGUGGAGGGAUUCCAAGCGUGAGCCAAGGGCUUGACCCGCUGUUGCUGCAGGGGCCGUAUGGAGAAUUCAGGCAGAAACGCGGCAGGCCCCAGGAGCACAGAACAGCCAGGGCUCACGGCCAUCGAGGAGUGGAGACCUCAGCCCUAUAAGCCCAAGGAACUGAAUUCAGCGGACCAGCAAGUGAGCUGGGCAGCGUUCUGCCUCAGAGCCUCCAGGAAGGAGCUCCGCGCCGACACUGAACUCUCAACCUUGUGAGACACGAGGCUGGGACCUCCCUGCGCCCACCUGGACUCCUGGCUACAGCACUGUGAGAUAAUAAGGCCCUGUUGUUUGAAACGGCUGUUUAUGGUGACUUGUUACCGCAGCAAUGGAAGAUACAAGGUGAUGCCACAACACAAAAGAAGGGACAAAGUCAAUACAAAUAAAACAAAGAACCCAAGCAGAAGCGUAACCUUGCAACCAGAGAACUGCUGAGAACAUCAAUUGAGACAGAAGCGCUUCAGGUGUGGCCCCUGGACCAGCAGCAUUAAUCUCACCGGGGAACAUGUUGGAAAUGCAAGUUCUCCCCUUCCCCAGAUCUCCUAAAUCAGAUCCUCAGGGUGAGGCCAGCAAGCUCUGUUGGAACAAGCCCUCCCACUGAUUCAGACGCAUGCUCUGCCACAGGCACAAGGUGACAGGUGUCGAGGGAAGACAGAGAGACAGACGAAAGGGAACUACUGGCAGUACCAACAGCCGAGUCCUGGGGUUCUCUCCUCCUGCCUCUGGGAGCCCUGAUUUUCCCUUCCCUGCCUCCCUGCAGAAGUUCAAGGCUGUUCUUUAUGAAAGAACUUACAGGUGGCCUCAGGCCCCCUGUUGAAGAUCAUGGUAUCUUCCCUCGGGACCUUUCCCAGUCCAGGAGCACUCGGCCGUGACCCCCGAGAGCCAUGCCCUGUCAAACGCCUGCCUCUCGGCCUCUCUCCAGGCUGAUAACUGCUGCAGUGCCAAGGAGGGCCCUGCCCUCUGGCCCCAUGGCCAGAGUUUCCUGUUCAGCUGUGAAGGGCUCCCUUAAUUGCUCCAGAGUCUGGAUUUUGGGAACACUUCAAGGAGAAAGUUUUUAAUUCACCUCCCAAUUUUUUCAGCCCUGUGAACUGCCUACUGCUUGAAAAACAAAAAACAUAAAGUGAUUGCUGAUUAUGGACUAGAACAGAAAUCAUGCAAAUAUUCUGACUUUGCUAAGUUAAAAUAGAUUCUAUUUCAAAAUAGAUUCCAAGGCACAGGUUUUGGCAUGGCAGAGGCCAGGGCCCUCCGUCCAGAUUGGCUGUACCAGGUGAUUUCCCUGAGCCCCCAAUUUUCCCACUGAAAAUAAAAACAAUUGCUGUUACUGUUAUCAG